UCCGGUGUGGUCUAGUGGCUAGGAUACCUGGCUUUCACCCUGGAGGCCCGGGUUCGAUUCCCGGUACCGGAA
rnacentral:tRNA from 1 species